CGAGAAAGUAAAUAAGGGCGUAUGGGGAAUGCCUAGGCUCUCAGAGGCGAUGAAGGACGUGAUAAGCUGCGAUAAGCUGUGGGGAUCGGCACAUACGAUUUGAUCCGCAGAUUUCCGAAUGGGACAACCCAGCAGGUUGAAGACCUGUUAUCCGAAAGGAGGCAAACCCGGGGAACUGAAACAUCUAAGUACCCGGAGGAAGAGAAAACAAUUAGUGAUUCCGUUAGUAGUGGCGAGCGGACGCGGAAAAGCCCAAACCAGGUUAGUUACGGCUAGCUUGGGGUUGUAGGGCCACGAUAUCUUAACAAAACAAAACUUGAAGUGCAUGGGAAGGCACGCAGAAUAGGGUGACAGCCCCGUAAAGGAAAUGUUUUGAGCGGUAGUGGUACCCUGAGUAGGGCGGGACAGGUGAAAUCCCGUCUGAAUCCACCGGCACCAUCCGGUAAGGCUAAAUACUCCUGAGAGACCGAUAGUGAACCAGUACCGUGAGGGAAAGGUGAAAAGUACCCUGAAUAAGGGGGUGAAAUAGUACCUGAAACCAUACGCUUACAAGCGAUCGGAGCUCCUUUGUGGGGUGACGGUGUGCCUUUUGCAUAAUGAGCCUACGAGUUACUCCUCCCUGGCAAGGUUAAGUGAUUAAGUCACGUAGCCGGAGCGAAAGCGAGUCUGAAUAGGGCGUUCAGUCAGGGGGGGUAGACGCGAAACCUUGUGAUCUACCCAUGACCAGGUUGAAGUUUGGGUAAAACCAAAUGGAGGACCGAACCAGUUGACGUUGAAAAGUCUUUGGAUGAGUUGUGGGUAGGGGUGAAAGGCCAAUCAAACUGGGAAAUAGCUCGUACUCCCCGAAAUGCUUUUAGGAGCAGCGUGGGGUGAUGUUUAAUAGAGGUAGAGCUACCAAUAGGACUAGGGGGAGUCAAAUCCUACCAAAUCCUGAUGAACUCCGAAUGCUAUUAAAUUAACCCUGCAGUGAGGGCUUGGGUGCUAAGGUCCAAGUCCGAGAGGGAAAGAACCCAGACCUUCAGCUAAGGUCCCAAAGUGUAUACUAAGUUGAACUAAGGAGGUCCAGUUGCAUAGACAGCCAGGAUGUUGGCUUGGAAGCAGCCAUUCAUUUAAAGAGUGCGUAACAGCUCACUGGUCGAGCGACAGGGCAUCGAUGAUGAUCGGGCAUUAAGUAUAUCACCGAAGCUAAGGAUUGUUCCAAUUAAUUGGAACACUGGUAGGGGAGCAUUCUAUUCUGCGAUGAAGGUGCCUGGUAAUGGGCAUUGGAGCGUAUAGAAAAGCAAAUGUAGGCAUAAGUAACGAUAAGGCGGGUGAGAAACCCGCCCACCGAUAGACUAAGGUUUCCUGAUCAACGCUAAUCGGAUCAGGGUUAGUCGGGACCUAAGGCGAACCCGAAAGGGGUAGUCGAUGGACAAUUGGUUAAUAUUCCAAUACUACCGUAUUGAGUGAUGGGGUGACGGAGUAGUGAAAGAUCCGCGGACUGACGGAAUAGUCCGUUGAAGGGUGUAGUUAUAGGCAGUGUAGGCAAAUCCGCACAGCUUGAUGAACCUGAUAGUACCACAAUGCUUCGGCAGCGUGGAUAGUGAUCCUAAUCAGACUUCCAAGAAAAACCUCUAAACAUAUUGAUAUGGUACCCGUACCGCAAACCGACACAGGUAGUCAAGGAGAGAAUCCUGAGGUGCUCGAGUGAUCCGUGGCUAAGGAACUAGGCAAAAUGGCCCUGUAACUUCGGGAGAAGGGGCGCUUCCUCAUGCUUGCAUGAGAAGCCGCAGUGAAUAGGCCCAGGCGACUGUUUAGCAAAAACACAUGGCUUUGCGAAAUCGAAAGAUAAAGUAUAAGGCCUGACACCUGCCCGGUGCUGGAAGGUUAAGGGGGGAUGUUAUCCGCAAGGAGAAGCAUUGAACUGAAGCCCCAGUAAACGGCGGCCGUAACUAUAACGGUCCUAAGGUAGCGAAAUUCCUUGUCGGGUAAGUUCCGACCUGCACGAAUGGUGUAACGAUCUGGGCACUGUCUCAGCCACGAGCUCGGUGAAAUUGUAGUAGCGGUGAAGAUGCCGCUUACCCGCAACGGGACGAAAAGACCCCAUGAACCUUUACUAUAGCUUCACAUUGGUAUUGGGUAAAUGAUGUGUAGGAUAGGCGGGAGACUUUGAAGGCGUGUCGCUAGGCAUGUUGGAGUCGUUGGUGAAAUACCGCCCUUUAUUUAUCUGGUGCCUAAUCCGCGAAUGCGGAGACAGUGUGUGGUGGGUAGUUUGACUGGGGUGGUCGCCUCCAAAAGAGUAACGGAGGCUUUCAAAGGUACCCUCAGUACGCUUGGUAACCGUACGCAGAGCGCAAUAGCAUAAGGGUGCUUGACUGUGAGGCCUACAAGCCGAUCAGGGUCGAAAGACGGAUAUAGUGAUCCGGUGGUUCCGCAUGGAAGGGCCAUCGCUCAAAGGAUAAAAGGUACUCUGGGGAUAACAGGCUGAUCUCCCCCAAGAGCUCAUAUCGACGGGGAGGUUUGGCACCUCGAUGUCGGCUCGUCACAUCCUGGGGCUGGAGAAGGUCCCAAGGGUUGGGCUGUUCGCCCAUUAAAGUGGCACGCGAGCUGGGUUCAGAACGUCGUGAGACAGUUCGGUCUCUAUCUGUUGUGGGCGCGAGAAGUUUGAGAGGACCUGACCUUAGUACGAGAGGACCGGGUUGGACCAACCGCUGGUGUACCAGUUGUCCCGCCAGGGGCACUGCUGGGUAGCUACGUUGGGAAGAGAUAAGCGCUGAAAGCAUCUAAGUGCGAAACUCCCCUCAAGAUGAGACUUCUUUAAAGGGACGUCAGAGAUGAUGACGUUGAUAGGCUGCAGGUGUAAAGGCAGAGAUGUCAUAGCCGAGCAGUACUAAUUACCCGUAAACUUUCCGUU
rnacentral:rRNA from 1 species